UAAUUAAGAACUCUGACAUGACUCUUGAUGGUAAGUAGUGAUGGUAACUCUAAUUGCGUUUGAAAUCUUAUGAUGUUAUUUAAAUAUUAUUUUUCUUACUGAAUAUAUGGAACUCACCCUUUUCAUGGCCCCCCCUCCCAAAUGAAGAGGAUAGUGAGGAACCGAUUGCUGACCUACCAUUUGAAAUCUUUGAGGAUCCA
rnacentral:lncRNA from 1 species